CACAGGAAUUACUCUCCUCUCCUCCCCUGGAACGCUGUCUGUCAACAACUCAACUGCACAAUAUACGCUGAAGUCACUCCCAGUUUAUUUGAUCCAAGGCGCUUCUGCUAGGCGGGCACAGCAGAGUGCAGACUUUAGUCUCCCCAUUCUGCUGGAAGGCUGCCAGCCACAGGUCACAUGACCUGGAAGAAAACACCUGGGAGACUUUUGGGAUCCCUUUUCGCAUGGGCUGCUUAUCAACCUGAAGGGAAGUCCAAAGGCUGAUGAACUGAUCUCUGUGUGACACCACGUUGCUCUGGAGUCCUGUAUGCCCUGGGAUACAACACCCAGUGCAAAUC